GAUGAAGAACGUAGCGAAAUGCGAUACUUGGUGUGAAUUGCAGAAUCCCGUGAACCAUCGAGUCUUUGAACGCAAGUUGCGCCUCAAGCCAUUAGGUUGAGGGCACGUCUGCCUGGGCGUCACAUGUCGUUGCCUGAUGCCAGUUUCCUCGUGAUGGGUGACUGUGCAGGGCGAAUGAUGGCUUCCCGUGAGCAUUGUUGCCUCAUGGUUGGUUGAAAAUUGAGUCCUUGGUAGGGAGCGCCGUGAUAGAUGGUGGUUGAGUGACGAACGAGACCCAAUCAUGUGAGACCCCUACCGAAUUUGGCCUUCAUGUCCCACAUGCGUCUUUGGAACGCUCAUGACGAGACCUCAGGUCAGGCGGGGCUACCCGCUGAGUUUAAGCAUAUCAAUAAGCGGAGGA
rnacentral:misc_RNA from 1 species